rnacentral:rRNA from 1 species
AUUAAAAACCAAUGCCCCUCGGGGCUUUCUGGUGAUUCAUGAUAACUUCUCGAAUCGCACGGCCUUGCGCUGGCGAUGGUUCAUUCAAAUUUCUGCCCUAUCAACUUUCGACGGCUGGGUCUUGGCCAGCCAUGGUGACAACGGGUAACGGAGGGUUGGGGCUCGACCCCGGAGAAGGAGCCUGAGAAACGGCUACUACGUCCAAGGAAGGCAGCAGGCGCGCAAAUUAACCAAUCCCGACUCGGGGAGUUAGUGACAAUACAUACUGAUACAGGGCUCUUUUGGGUCUUGUAAUCGGAAUGAGUACAAUUUAAACCCCUUAACGAGGAACAAUUGGAGGGCAAGUCUGGUGCCAGCAGCCGCGGUAAUUCCAGCUCCAAUAGCGUAUAUUAAAGUUGUUGCAGUUAAAAAGCUCGUAGUUGAACCUUGGGCCUGGCUGGCCGGUCCGCCUCACCGCGUGCACUGGUCCGGCCGGGCCUUUCCCUCUGGGGAACCUCAUGCCCUUCACUGGGUGUGCU